UACGUAGGGUCCGAGCGUUGUCCGGAAUUAUUGGGCGUAAAGGGCGCGUAGGCGGCCUGAUAAGUAGGGGGGUGAAAUCCUGCGGCUUAACCGCAGGGCUGCCUUCUAAACUGUCAGGCUGGAGCACAGUAGAGGCAGGUGGAAUUCCCGGUGUAGCGGUGGAAUGCGUAGAGAUCGGGAAGAACAUCAGUGGCGAAGGCGACCGCCUGGCCCAACACUGACGCUGAGGUGCGAAAGCGUGGGUAGCAAACAGG
rnacentral:rRNA from 1 species